ensembl:lncRNA
UUUUUUUUUUUUUUUUUUUUGGAAAAGCCAAAAAAUGGCAACAAUGCAACUAUCUUUCAAUAGGUAAACGGCCACAUCCAUGCCAAUCAGCAAUGAAAAGGACACUAGUCACUGAUACAUGCAAGCCAACACUGCAUAUAGGAAUUAAGGGCAUUAUGCUGAGUAAAAAUAUCCAGUCUAGGGAUUAAAUACUUUAUUUUUCCAUUUGUGAGGCAUUAAUAAGAUGACAUAAUUAUAGAGAUGAAGGGCAGCUUAGUUUUUCCCAGGGUUUCACAAAGGGAACAGGAAGAGGUGGGAGAAGGGAGCAAAGAAGGAUGAAUGUGACUGUAACAGGUUAGCGUGAAGAAUCUGCAGUGAGAGCGGAGUUCUGUAUCUUAAUUACAGUGGUCGUUACAUCAGUCUAACUAUGGAAAGACUCCAGAGAACUAUAUACACAUGUACAUAAAAAUUAGCAUAUGUAAAGCUGGUGAAAUCUGUGGAUUCCUGGUUUUGACCCUGCAGUAAAGUUAUAUAAGAUGUUACUGUUGUGAGGAAAUUGGGUGCAGAGUAUAGAGGACCACAUCUAUUAUUUUUGAAAGUAUAACUCUAUCAUUAUUUCAGAAGAAACAGCUUUAAAAAUAAAAGCAGACAAUACCAAGAGUUGUUAAGAAUGUGAAGGAAAUAGAACUCUUAUUCACUGCUGAUGAGAGUGUAAAAUGACACAACCACUUUGUACAACAUUUUGACAAUUUUUUAUAAUGUUAUAUAUAUAUAUGCCUACCAUAUGACCCAGGAAGUUCAUUCUGAGGUAUUUACCUAAGAGAAAUGAAAACCCUAUGUCCAUACAAAGAUUUAUCCGUAAAUUGUCAUGCCAACUUUAUUCAAUCUAGCCCCAAACUGGAAACAACCCAAAAUAUCGAUAGAUGAAGGGAUAAACAAAUCAUGGUACAUCUAUUCAACGAAAUUGCACAAGAAAAAAUGACCUACCAAUCAAGCGAUGGCAAGAAUGAAUCUCAAAAUAUGCUAAAAAAUAACAAAAAAGCCGGAAUCAAAAGGUAUACCCUUUAUAAUUCCAUUUAUCAAAAAUGUAAUACAGGAAAAAUGAAUCCAUUGUGACACAAAGAUCAAUGAUUUCUUGGGCUAGGGGUGGGACCAAGUGGGAAGGGAUACCAAAGGGUCACCUGGGGUGAAGGAAAUGUGGUAAAUAUUGACUGUGAUAUUGGUUACAGAGAUAUAUUCAUUUGUCUAAACUCAGAAAGCUAUAUAUUUAAAAUGAGCUUACUUUAUUAAAUGUAUAUUAUACCCUAAUAAAGUUUGCAAAAUAUGGUAUAGGCUAUAAAGAAUAUCAAGUUGCAGACUUGCUUGGAUCCCGCGUUGCUGUGGCUCUGGCGUAGGCCGGUGGCUACAGCUCCGAUUCGACCCCUAGCCUGGGAGCCUCCAUAUGCCGCAGGAGCGGCCCAAGAAAUAGCAAAAAGACAAAAAAAAAAAAAAAAACACCUUGUUCAUAAGGUAACAGUUUACCAUGGUUUCUGAUCUUAAGAAGCAGGCACUCAAAGGACGAAUCUGAUAUGUAAAUUAAAUACUACUGUUGUUAUUUUUGAAUUGAUGUUGUUAUUUUUAAAUUGACUACCAAGCAAAGAAACUUGGACUUGUCUUGACACACAGGACUUUGGUGCCAGGGCCCCUAUUAAAAAGAAGGGGGAACAAAAGGACAGCCUGCAAGCAUGAAUAAGCAGUGCUUGCAUCCCUGCUAACAAAAUUACAGUAACUAUCAUGAAAACACUUCAAUAAGUGUCUGAAAUAAAAACUGAAUAGGCCUUAGAAGAACACAAAGGAAAACAUACUUUGAAGAGGAAAAUAUUAAGAUAUGUGUAAAUACACAGAUAUCUCAAAUAAUUUAGUUGGUGGUCUCAGGGGAGAAAGUGACACUACUCCCCGGGGAUCAGGUCACAGACACAAUGUUAAAUGCCUAUAGUAAGUAUCACAGCCCAAAGAAGGCAUGGUAACAUCCCACAUGUAAAGUCUGGAGGUAUUUGUGUGCAGUUUUUCCGAGCUCCUCAAUCCUGUCUGCACAGGAGAAUCACUUGAAGGUCUCCUAAAAGUACAAGACAGACCGCAGCUCUGAGCAGUUAAAAUCAAAAUAAACUGGCUGGAAGCUAUACAUUCUCUACUGAUCUGCUAAAAUAAGAGUUUUUUCCCUUAAAACUCUUUAUUUUGAGAUAAUCAUAAAUUCAUAGGCAGUUGUAAAAAAAAAAAAAAUUAGAGACAGAUGCCAUGUACCUUCUAUCCAGUUUCUCCCAGUGGUAACAUCUUGCAAAAUGAUAGCACAAAUUCACAACCAGGAUGCUUAUAUUCAAAGAGUGAUGACACAGCAUGAUUGCAUCUCCACAAGGAUUCUUCCUGCUGUCCUUUCUUUGCCACAAUUGCCUUCUUUUUCCCACCAAUCCCAACCCUUGGCCCCGAACCCUACAAUCAUUAAUGUUCUUCAUUUAGACAUUGCGUCAUUUCAAGAAUGUUAUAUAAACGGAAUCAUUCAAUAUGUGACCUUUGGGGACUGGUUUCUUUCACUCAGAAUAACUCCCUGGAGAUUCACCCAAGUCAUUUCACCUAUCACUCCUUUUUGUUGCUGAGUAGGAUUCCAUGUGUCGCGGUUUAACAAUUCACCUGCAAAGAAAAUCUGGGAUAUUUCCAAUUUGGGCUGAUUACCAAUAAAGCUAAUGUGAACAUUCAAGUAUGGGUUUUUUUGUGUGAACAUAAGUUAUCAUUUUCCCUGGGAUAAAUGCUUAAGAGUGCUUUUGCUGGGUAAUAAGGUAACUGCAUGUGUAGAGUCAUGAGAAACCACCACUGUUUUCUAGAGGGGCAGUACCGUUUUACAUUCCUGCCAGCACACAGGAGUGAUCCAGUUUCUUCACAUCCUCGGCAGCACUCGGUGUUGUUACCUUCUUUAAGUCACUCUGAUAAGUGUGCAGUAAUAAGGUUCUGUAGUUUUACAUUUACUUUUCCCUGAUGGCUAAUGAUCCAUUAGAGAAAAGUUUAUCUUUCAUGUACUUACUUGCCAUCUGUAUAUCCUCCUUAAUGAAAUAUUUCUUCCUGUUUUUGCCCAUCUCCUAAUUGAACUGUUUGCUUUUAUAUAGCUAAAUUUUGAGAGUUAAUUACAUAUUUUAGAUACUAGUUUUUUUGUUGGGUAUGUGGCUUGCAAAAUUUUCUCCCAAUUUGUAGCUUAUCUUCUCAUUCUCUUAGAGGUCUUUCACAGAACAAACGAGGUCAUGUGUAUAGACUUUUCUUCCUAUGGAAUGUGCUUUGGGUAUGAAGUCUAGGAACUCUUUGCCUAGCCAUACAUCUUGAAAAAUCUCAUCCUAUUAUUUUUUGUUUCUAAAAUUGUUAUAGUUUUAUGACUUAAAUCAAUGAUUUAAAUCAUUGAUUUAAAUAAAUGAUUCUUUCUGAGUUAAUUUUUUAUAAGGUAUGAGUUUUAGGUCAAUUUUAUUAUUCUACUUGUGAAUGUCCGAUUACUCCAGCACCAUUUAUUGAAAAGGCUAUCCUUCCCCCACUGCACUGCUUUUGCACCUUUGUCAAAAUUUAGUUUGUCAAAAUUCUGUGGAGGACUAUUUCUUGGGUCUAUAUUCUGUGCCAUUUACCUAUGUGUCUGUCCCUCCACCAAUACCACAGUGCCUUACCAUAGGCUUUAAUCAAAAUAGUUAUACAAAUGUGGAUGAGUUCAUGCCAGUCUUGUGCUUAAAAACCUUUUAAGAGUCCCCUGCCACAUGUAAAAUGAUAUCCUAGCUCCAUGGCCAGGCUCACAGAGCCUUACAAAACCAGAUCCCAUUCAGCUUCCCAGGCUGUACCUAGUGGGCUCAUGCCCAGGCUACUACCCACUGGCACCACCAGACUUCAUAUUGUUUUCUGAGCACAUCUUAGAAACUCUUCACUGGAAUGCACUUGCCCCAGAUCUUCACAACAGUAUUUUUUUUGUCAUCAGCUCUCAACUUAAAUAUGACAUCCCUUAAAAAGCCAAAUAUGCUCCUUUAGUUGGGACAGUACUCUAAGAGGUGUUAUUAUUGUCUUCAUCCUAUAAAUGAGGAAAUCAAGGCACAUACAAGUUAAUUACUCAACCAACUUGCCCAUUGUAUGAAGUGGCAGUACAAGAAUUCAGGUUGAGGCUAUUUACAUGCUUAGUCAUCACACUAAAAAAAAAAAAAAAAAAGUAGUGAAAUGAAGAAUGUUCUCCUCUUUCUCUCUGGCUUCACUGAUGGAGAUGAUGACGAAUGCCAAAAUCUUUAUUACUUACUACCUUUUAUUUGAUUACUUCAAGUUCCAGUCCCAAAGAAAAGCACUGCUUUAUCAGGAAAGGGUAUGACAUAGAACAGACUUUAAGGUGAAUUUCCUCAGUAUAAUUCACUUGCAAGAUAAUUACCAGGCUACAACAUCCCUAGCUUUUUUUUUUCAUUUGACUUCAGGGACCUCAACCCCAAAUAGAGUAUUCAAUGAAUUUCCUUCUCAAACUUAACUGUAUCCUACCAGCCUUAAGACAGCUGGGUAUACUGCCUUCUUUGCCUCCACUCUUGAAGUUUUAGAAAGCAAAAGAUAGCCUUAUUUACAUAAAUAUCACUUUGAAAUUUGAAACAAUUCAAACUUUGAAACUAGACACAAACUUAUAAAAAUAAAAAUGCAUUUUUAAGUAAACAUUUUCUGAUUUUGAAAGCUUUGUUCUGCUUCUUACUAAGUGUCCUCAUAGUACCGCCUUUCUCCCCCCAAGGAACCUAUAGAAAUCUGAAAAAUUAAAACAUUUACUAUUUAUAAAUUAUUUCAGUGAACAUUAGGAAUUCUUGAAAUAUGAAUAUGUUCUCAAAUCUUUCUUUCAAAAGAAAAUCACAGGAAAAUCAGAGCAAUAAAUCUUUGGCUGAAUAAAUUAAAAAGCUCAGUCUCAUAAAGCCAAUUUUUUUUCCGUUACCUACAUACAUUUGCUGUUUGGAAGCAGCCAACGUCGAUUAUUUAUUUCUACCAUGCCUUUCCUUAUCUCUAGAAAGUGCCUGAGGAUUUCAAUUCUCUGAGCACGACUGUGCGAAGUUAGGAUAUCCUCCUGCAUUUUAUUCUGUGAGACUCCCUUCUAAUUUGGGGAAGAAAUAACUUUUGGCUGAUUUUCGUGUUCUUUGGAACUAUAUCUGAUCCAUUUGUCAGAAACAAUAAUGGCAAAACAAGGCAGUUUUUAAGAACUGAGUAGAUAGUUUUUUGAUAUUAAGCUUCCCAAAGAUAUAGGCUUCUUAAAUUUCUCUGAGUAUUUUUUAAAAAAAGAAACGCAAAAAUCAAUGUCAGCACCUUUACAAGGCUUCUUCAGGGAUUUCAUAAAUGCUUUUUGGAGAAACCUCAUCACCUCCUGUGCAAUGAAAGAAAAAGGUGUGAUGGAAGGAACAGAGUCGAGGGAACAACUAUUAAAACCACAAACUCCCUUUUAAAACCACAAGCCAGCUUUAGUCUGAACGAAACAAAAUAUUCUAUUGGAUCCUCUAACCAGCAGCUAUAAAAGAAAAAAAUAAAUAAAAAGUUAAUCUCAGAUAUUAAGGGAAAGUUUAUUGCAUCAGAAAGAAAAUUGAUUCCUGUAGAGUAUUAACUUCAUACACUAAAAUGAACUGAAGAAACUAAUUAUUCAAAAACAAAGAAUGGCCUUUGGGAAACUCUGCUGCCUAAAAGGAGUUAAUGGUCAGAGCUUGUCUGGAUUAUUAUCAUGAAUCAAACUAAUGAGAGGACGAAUAUAUGGUUCCCAGGUGAGAGUCUCUCCUGCACCGCUCCCCUUGCCGUUUCUGUCAUGUGAGGAGAAAUCAAUGUCCAAAUAAAAUGUGUAGCUAAAGCAUUUACAGAAAAUAAAUGCCACGGUAUUUAUGGAGGUAGCUUUUUCCACAGCUGAAAUAUACUAGCGGUAGUAGAGUGGAUAAAGAGAAAAACAGUAAAUAUUGUGCCGCAAAUGGAAAUGAAGUUAAUACCCUGAAAAUACACUGAGGAGAAUCAAAAUAUAAUGUUUAGCCAUUUGCAGAAAUAUUUUGAGCCAAAUAUAUAUACAUUUACAUAUCUAUACAUACACAUAUAUACAUAGAUACAAAUACAUAUUUAUGUAUGAAUGUUAAAUAUUCAUUUGAUUCAAAAUAUAUAAUUAUUUGUAUUACAUAUAAUAUAUAUGUAUAUUUUCUGAAAAAAAAAAAGCCUAGAAACAGGAGAUUAAUCUAUCUGGACAUCAAUAUCCAACAUCAAGAUGAUACACAUAUUACUUUAUAAAGCAUGAUAGAAGGAAAAUAUAAAUACAAAAGCUUAAACAUGACCCUUCCUCUUCUCCUUUAAAAAUGUGAACAAAGAAGAAUGAUCUGCAUGACAUUGAUAAAAAGAAAGCCCCCAAAAUAAGAAUUUUAAAAGUAUGACUGUCCAAGGAAGAGAGAGUCUUCUGUUGAGGAAAGUGGCUCCAGACUGCAGAAGCCAGUUGUGAGAGGAAGUAGAAUAAGAGAACUCCAAGAAAGAUGCAAGAAUAUAGAAAAAAAUUGUUUUAUCUUGGGAGCUGUGUUCUUUUGUUUACAAUGAAAUGGGCUGUGCAAAGGGUGGUAAGAGGUGGGAAGAGUGGAAAGUUGGUUAUGAGGAAAAAAAAAAAAAUUCAGAGUAUGAACUGAGCAAGGGAGAGGGCCAGAUAAUUGGGAAAGAAUUGGCAUUUUGGCCAAAAGAGCAGCAAUGGGCUUCAGGGCUUCAAAAACAAAACCAGAAGAACAAAACAAACAAAACAAAAAAAGCCACUUCCUUAAAGUAGAAUCACUAAUCAAUAAAUCAAACUAAUUAAUAAAUAUACAUUCAUGAAUUUCAUUGGUGAAUCAAGAACAGAAAAACUGAUAAACUUACAGACACUGGAGAAUCAAGUUAUAGGACCUGCAAAGCUGAGAACCAAAUCCUAGAACUUGGUCUUUGAAACAACAGUCUCCCUCUGAGACUGUCACUGCCCUGGAUGAGGUCUCAAUUCCUUUGGACUCCAUCUGCAGUGUUUUAUACAAAAAGUAGGUGAGAAUUAGUGAAGCAUCUUCUCAAGAAAAUUGGGGGAGCUUCUCAAGAGUGGGGGAGGUAAGAGGAUGGUAAGUGGCACAAAUUUCAGGCAUACAUGGAUCUCUAAAUACUAUGAAAUGACAAAUAAAAUAGUGUGCCCAAUUGGCAAGGAUUAUUUUGAUAUCUUUAUUGAAAUAAAACAGACUUAGAUCAAAAUGUGUAAAUGACUUUCUUUUCUUUUUUGUUGCUGUUGUUGUUGUCUUUUGUCUUUUUAGGGCUGCACCCACAGCAUAUGGAGGUUCCAAUCAGAGCUAAAGCUGCUGGCCUGCACCACAGCCACAGCAACGUGGGAUCUGAGCCAUGUCUGCGACCUAUACCACAGCUCACUGCAAUGCCAGAUCCUUAACCCACUGAGCAAAGCCAGGGAUUGAACCCUCAACCUCAUGGUUACUAGUUGAGUUCCUUAACCACUGAGCCAUGAAGGGAACGUCAUGAUUUUCUUUUUUCUCUUUCAAUUUCUAAGUUUUCCAAAGUGCACAUCUACAUAAGGAAAAAGUAUUAUUAAAAAAAAAUCUAGCGCAGAUCUGAUGUUAUCUGGUAUCAGCAUCAACACAUUUUCAGAAAUAUUUAAAAGCUUCUCAUUUUUUAUAGGGGACCACAAUGAUGAUCAUUGGGUUGGAGAUUGGUAUUUUUAUUUCAACUCAGAAAAAAGGUUACUGAUUGACAUGCUAUAAUGAUGGGCGGUCCUGAGAAAACAAUGUGGCACAACCAAUCCUUGGGAUGUAACUAUUAUUGGGAUCUCAUACAUAAAGAAACAUAUAGCACAUAAAUAAUACAUUUAAUUGUCAGCCUAAUUUAUUAAUUGAAAAAACAUUAAAGUGUUUAUCGUUGAUUCCCUUGUUACUCUUAGAACCACUGUCUUUUCAUAAUUGAUGUAUCUUUUAAAAAUAUUUUCCCUUUACUCUGUUUUAAAACUAGUAUUAAAAAUAGAGCUGUUCUUUUAUCCUUUUCAGAGAUAACUAUUCUUUCUACAAAAUAUCCCUUAAAUUGAUGCCUUCAAAUCACCUUCUAACCAAAUAGUUUGUUUCUGAAAUAUAGGCCUAUUUCCAAUGUUAUAACAAUCUAAACACAGGAAGCCAAAUUCGGGCCUUAUCAAAUUCAAAUCUUUUUCUUACAAAGAAUAGGAUUACAUUAUCCAUUCUUCUCUNUUUUUUUUUUUUUUUUUUUUUUUUUUUUGCUUUUUAGGACUGCAUGUGCUGCAUAAGGAAGCUCCUAGGCUAGGGGUCGAGAUGGAACUAUAUCACAGCCACAGCAACUCCAGAUCCGAGCUGCAUCUGCG